rnacentral:misc_RNA from 1 species
AACGGUCUAUACCUGCGGUACCUGCGGAAGGAUCAUUAAUGUGAUGGAUGUGCUAGUCUUGACUUCUCAAUCCUUCCUUCAAUGCGUUGUUGGAUGGGGGCCUGACGGCUCGAGAGGAAAGGAAAUAAAAGCCCGUUUGGGUGUGCACUCCGAUAAAAAUCCUAUUUCAUACCUUGUGCACCUCUGCCUGCUGGACAGAUAAGAAUAUUGAAUGAUGUUCUUUAUUGUCCAUGUAGGAUA